UAACCUGGUUGAUCCUGCCAGUUAGUCAUAUGCUUGUCUCAAAGAUUAAGCCAUGCAUGUCUGAGUGUAAGUAUUUCAUUGCGGGACUGCGAAUGGCUCAAUAACACAGUUAUUGUUUAUUUGAUUUUUCGUUUUACGGCUGGAUAACAGUAGUAAUUCUAGUGCUAAUACAUCUUUGCUUGCCCUGGUGGCA
rnacentral:rRNA from 1 species